CUGAUCCAGUCUGCUGUAUUCUCCUGGAUACUGUGGUUGGCAGAACAAAGCAAUACGAACAGUGAAUUUCCAAAGAUUCCAAGUGUCUGACAUCUCUUUGUCUGCAAGGGACUGAAAUGUUGUUGUGCUUUUGUUAUUGUAGGAGUCAUCAACAUCAGAGUAAGGGCCAUCCUUGUUUGCAGAUUUGCUAAAAUUUUCUUAGAUCAAGUUUGAAAGUAGGGACCAUUAAUACAGUAAAUCUCUGAAAAAGUUGUCACCCAGUUUCAGUAACCUGUUUUCGUUGGGAUGCCUGAAGGACUAGGUUUUCAAGACUUGUGAGUUGUACCACAGAAGACUAAUACCACACAUCUUAGUUGUCUACAUUCCGUACGCAGGUUUUGACAGGAAGGGCCAGAAAGGAGCUCCUCUUAGCUACAAUUGGUUCAAAAUAUAAGCGCCUGGAUGGGUUUAUGCUCUGGGUUGAUGUUGUAAAAUCAUUCAGAUAGAUUUACCAGGAUUCAUAACAAUGACAGCUGCUAAUGUUUCCUGUAAACCUGAUCAGAGUAUGUGGCUUUCUCAGGAUAAAUCAGGAAAGGAGAAGUAAAGGAAAGCUGCUCAAGUAACAUAUUGGGAGGUGAAAAGAAUCCAAUAAUGAUAUGAGUGCAGAAAGAAAUGCUCUUUUUUCCUUUUAGCUAGGGGCCUUCAUGUCAUUUAUUGACUCUGUGACAAGGGGAAUGAGUUUAGGAAUCUAUGUACCAACCAAUUUAAAUUUCAUUUAGUGAAUGGAGUGGAGAUAAUAAUAAAUGAUUAAUAAGAUGUUCCUGUGUCUUAUUCUUUUUCUACUUGUGAGUUAUGAACUUGUGAUUCCUUUCACAGUGCCUUUUUCCAUAGAAUGACAACUUUGGGAACCUUUCCUGAGUUUAUAAUCUGAUGACUG
rnacentral:lncRNA from 1 species